rnacentral:rRNA from 1 species
CCUACGGGAGGCAGCAGUGAGGAAUAUUGGUCAAUGGGCGCAAGCCUGAACCAGCCAAGUCGCGUGAGGGAUGAAGGUUCUAUGGAUUGUAAACCUCUUUUAUAAGGGAAUAAAGUGCGGGACGUGUCCCGUUUUGUAUGUACCUUAUGAAUAAGGAUCGGCUAACUCCGUGCCAGCAGCCGCGGUAAUACGGAGGAUCCGAGCGUUAUCCGGAUUUAUUGGGUUUAAAGGGUGCGUAGGCGGCCUUUUAAGUCAGCGGUGAAAGUCUGUGGCUCAACCAUAGAAUUGCCGUUGAAACUGGGAGGCUUGAGUACGUUUGAGGCAGGCGGAAUGCGUGGUGUAGCGGUGAAAUGCUUAGAUAUCACGCAGAACCCCGAUUGCGAAGGCAGCCUGCCAAGCCAUGACUGACGCUGAUGCACGAAAGCGUGGGGAUCAAACAGGAUUAGAUACCCGAGUAGUC